UGAGGAAUUUUGCGCAAUGGGCGCAAUCCUGACGCAGCAACGCCGCGUGGGUGAUGAAGGCCUUCGGGUCGUAAAGCCCUGUCAGGUGGGAAGAAUGUCCCGGGACUGAACAGGUUCCGGGAGUGACGGUACCACCAGAGGAAGCACCGGCUAACUCCGUGCCAGCAGCCGCGGUAAUACGGGGGGUGCAAGCGUUAUUCGGAAUUACUGGGCGUAAAGCGCGUGUAGGCGGUCCUGCAAGUCUGAGGGGAAAGCCCCGGGCUUAACCCGGGAAGUGCAUUGGAAACUGUGGGACUUGAGUACUGGAGAGGAUGGGGGAAUUCCCGGUGUAGAGGUGAAAUUCGUAGAGAUCGGGAGGAAUAUCAGUGGCGAAGGCGCCCAUCUGGACGGUAACUGACGCUGAGACGCGAAAGCGUGGGGAGCAAACA
rnacentral:rRNA from 1 species